GUAGGGAAUAUUGGGCAAUGGUCGGAAGACUGACCCAGCCAUGUCGCGUGCAGGAAGACGGCCCUCUGGGUUGUAAACUGCUUUUAUCUGGGAAGAAAAAGGCCAUGCGUGGCAAAUUGCCGGUACCAGAUGAAUAAGCACCGGCUAACUCCGUGCCAGCAGCCGCGGUAAUACGGAGGGUGCGAGCGUUGUCCGGAUUUAUUGGGUUUAAAGGGUGCGUAGGCGGCUGAUUAAGUCAGCGGUGAAAGACUUCGGCUUAACCGGAGCAGUGCCGUUGAUACUGGUUGGCUUGAGUGUCGGAGGGGUACAUGGAAUUGAUGGUGUAGCGGUGAAAUGCAUAGAUACCAUCAGGAACACCGAUAGCGAAGGCAUUGUACUGGCCGACAACUGACGCUGAUGCACGAAAGUGUGGGGAUCGAACAGGAUUAGAUACCCCUGUAGUCC
rnacentral:rRNA from 1 species